GCUUGUGUGGCCUAAUGGAUUAGGCGUCUGAUUUCUAAUCAGAAGUUUGCCGGUUCGAUCCCGGCCGUUGGCU
rnacentral:tRNA from 1 species